rnacentral:rRNA from 1 species
AUUGAACGCUGGCGGCAGGCCUAACACAUGCAAGUCGAACGGUAACAGGAAGCAGCUUGCUGCUUUGCUGACGAGUGGCGGACGGGUGAGUAAUGUCUGGGAAACUGCCUGAUGGAGGGGGAUAACUACUGGAAACGGUAGCUAAUACCGCAUAACGUCGCAAGACCAAAGAGGGGGACCUUCGGGCCUCUUGCCAUCGGAUGUGCCCAGAUGGGAUUAGCUAGUAGGUGGGUAACGGCUCACCUAGGCGACGAUCCCUAGCUGGUCUGAGAGGAUGACCAGCCACACUGGAACUGAGACACGGUCCAGACUCCUACGGGAGGCAGCAGUGGGGAAUAUUGCACAAUGGGCGCAAGCCUGAUGCAGCCAUGCCGCGUGUAUGAAGAAGGCCUUCGGGUUGUAAAGUACUUUCAGCGGGGAGGAAGGGAGUAAAGUUAAUACCUUUGCUCAUUGACGUUACCCGCAGAAGAAGCACCGGCUAACUCCGUG